GACGGACGCUGGCGGCGUGCUUAACACAUGCAGGUCGAACGGAAAGGCCUGCUUGCGGGGUACUCGAGUGGCGAACGGGUGAGUAACACGUGGGUGAUCUGCCCUGCACUUCGGGAUAAGCUUGGGAAACUGGGUCUAAUACCGGAUAGGAGCCAUCUUUAGUGUGGUGGUUGGAAAGUUUUUUCGGUGUAGGAUGAGCUCGCGGCCUAUCAGCUUGUUGGUGGGGUAAUGGCCUACCAAGGCGGCGACGGGUAGCCGGCCUGAGAGGGUGUACGGCCACAUUGGGACUGAGAUACGGCCCAGACUCCUACGGGAGGCAGCAGUGGGGAAUAUUGCACAAUGGGCGCAAGCCUGAUGCAGCGACGCCGCGUGGGGGAUGAAGGCCUUCGGGUUGUAAACUCCUUUCGCUAGGGACGAAGCUUUUUUGUGACGGUACCUAGAUAAGAAGCACCGGCUAACUACGUG
rnacentral:rRNA from 1 species